GUGCCAGCAGCCGCGGUAAUACGUAGGGCGCAAGCGUUGUCCGGAAUUAUUGGGCGUAAAGAGCUCGUAGGCGGUUUGUCGCGUCUGCUGUGAAAACGCAAGGCUUAACCUUGCGCCUGCAGUGGGUACGGGCAGACUAGAGUGCGGUAGGGGAGACUGGAAUUCCUGGUGUAGCGGUGGAAUGCGCAGAUAUCAGGAGGAACACCGAUGGCGAAGGCAGGUCUCUGGGCCGUUACUGACGCUGAGGAGCGAAAGCAUGGGGAGCGAACAGGAUUAGAUACCCUGGUAGUCC
rnacentral:rRNA from 1 species